rnacentral:rRNA from 1 species
UACGGGGGGGAGCAAGCGUUGUUCGGAUUUACUGGGCGUAAAGGGCUCGUAGGCGGCCAACUAAGUCAGACGUGAAAUCCCUCAGCUUAACUGGGGAACUGCGUCUGAUACUGGAUGGCUUGGAUUCGGGAGAGGAAUGCGGAAUUCCAGGUGUAGCGGUGAAAUGCGUAGAUAUCUGGAGGAACACCGGUGGCGAAGGCGGCAUUCUGGACCGAUAUUGACGCUGAGGAGCGAAAGCCAGGGGAGCAAACGGG